rnacentral:rRNA from 1 species
CUGGGUUCAGAACGUCGUGAGACAGUUCGGUCCCUAUCCGUCGCAGGCGUAGGAAAUUUGAGAAGACCUGUCCUUAGUACGAGAGGACCGGGAUGGACGUACCUCUGGUGUACCAGUUGUUCUGCCAAGGGCAUGGCUGGGUAGCUAUGUACGGAAUGGAUAAGCGCUGAAAGCAUCUAAGCGCGAAGCCAACUUCAAGAUAAGAUUUCCCACCGCAAGGGUAAGACCCCAGAAAGACUAUCUGGUUGAUAGGUCGAAGGGGUAAGUGCAGCAAUGUAUUUAGCUUAUCGAUACUAAUAGGUCGAGGACUUGACCAAU